UUUAUGGAGAGUUUGAUCCUGGCUCAGGACGAACGCUGGCGGCGUGCCUAAUACAUGCAAGUCGAGCGGACUUGAAGAGAAGCUUGCUUCUCUGAUAGUUAGCGGCGGACGGGUGAGUAACACGUAGGCAACCUGCCUGCAAGACUGGGAUAACAUUCGGAAACGAAUGCUAAUACCGGAUACGCAAUUUGGCUGCAUGGCUGAAUUGGGAAAGACGGAGCAAUCUGUCACUUGCAGAUGGGCCUGCGGCGCAUUAGCUAGUUGGUGGGGUAACGGCUCACCAAGGCGACGAUGCGUAGCCGACCUGAGAGGGUGAUCGGCCACACUGG
rnacentral:rRNA from 1 species